CAAAAGAACUGAUCGACUGCUUUACACCGUCUCAACUUCUCGAAUCAUUUCACCAUCUCUAAUCCUUUUGGAGAGAAUUGAUUGAAACCCGAUUAUUUCCAUCACACAGUCCAGUUAUGUUCUACAAUUUUGGAGACCCAGUCGUACUGAAGAACAACUAAAUCUUCAACGCGAAGAGAAAGGAGAAAUAUAUUUGCCGUUGAUUGUUUUCUUACACGGCGGAUUAAAUUGUGGGUUUUAGAAAUCUCCUUAUCUAUCUUAGUUAAUUGGGAGAUCUAUAAAAACAGAUGGACAAAGACACAUACAUCAUAAACGGCAGAUUAUAUGUGCAAUUGUGAAGAAUAGUAAUCAAACGGAAGGACAAAGGGAGAGACAAUACUGCAAAUGUAUCUUCGUGGAACCCUACAGCUUAGAUUGGAGAUGACAUUGUCCAACAUAUUUGAUAAUGUAUUUGUUGAGAUCAAAGCAAGCUGAAAGCAAUGGAUCUUCGAUGUUCUUCACUUCUUUCCCACUAUCCAUACUGGACGGUCUUGAUGGAUGCAAGAUCAGUUAUUGCUAAGUUGGCAGCCAUUUCGUAAGCUUAAGUGAUAUGUGCUGAAAAACUUUGUUGGAAGGUAUGAGAUUUAUGUGCAUAAGUAAUGAGUAUUUAUAGGUAAAAUAUGUUCUCAUAAUACAUUAUCAUAAUUGAUUCACUAAUUAAUUCGGUAAUCAAAUUUCCG